ensembl:snoRNA SNORD42 Small nucleolar RNA SNORD42
GUGCAGAUGAUGUUAACGUGUUUUACCCCUGAGUGAAGUGAUGUUUCCAAAGGAACCACUGAUGCAC